GUUAAGUGACUAAGCGUACACGGUGGAUGCCUUGGCAGUUGGAGGCGAUGAAGGACGUAUUAACUUGCGAUAAGCUUAGUCAAGCUAGUAAAAAGCGCUUGAGACUAAGAUUUCCGAAUGGGGAAACCCACCUGCUUGCAGGUAUCGUUAACUGAAUACAUAGGUUAACGAGGCGAACGCGGAGAACUGAAACAUCUAAGUACCCGUAGGAAAAGAAAUCAACCGAGAUUCCGAAAGUAGCGGCGAGCGAAAUCGGAACAGCCCUUAAGCUUAUUAUGUGUUAAUGGAAGGCUGCUGGAAAGCGCCACGAUACAGGGUGAUAGUCCCGUACAUGAAAAGACAUUUUAAGUGAAAUCGAGUAGGUCGGAGCACGUGAAACUUUGACUGAAUAUAGGUGGACCAUCAUCUAAGGCUAAAUACUCCCAACUGACCGAUAGUGAACCAGUACCGUGAGGGAAAGGCGAAAAGAACCCCUGUGAGGGGAGUGAAAUAGAACCUGAAACCGUGUACGUACAAGCAGUAGGAGCCCACUUGUUGGGUGACUGCGUACCUUUUGUAUAAUGGGUCAGCGACUUAUAUUUAGUAGCAAGGUUAACCGAAUAGGGGAGCCGUAGCGAAAGCGAGUGUUAACUGCGCGUUUAGUUGCUAGGUAUAGACCCGAAACCGAGUGAUCUAGCCAUGGGCAGGUUGAAGGUUGAGUAACAUCACCUGGAGGACCGAACCGACUAACUUUGAAAAGUUAGCGGAUGACUUGUGGCUGGGGGUGAAAGGCCAAUCAAACUCGGAGAUAGCUGGUUCUCCCCGAAAGCUAUUUAGGU
rnacentral:rRNA from 1 species